rnacentral:rRNA from 1 species
GGAGAGGACGUGAAAGGCUACCACAUCCAAGGAAGGCAGCAGGCGCGCAAAUUACCCAAUCCCAAUACGGGGAGGUAGUGACAAUAAAUACUGAUACAGGGCUCUUUUGGGUCUUGUAAUUGGAAUGAGAACAAUUUAAAUCCCUUAACGAGGCAACAAUUGGAGGGCAAGUCUGGUGCCAGCAGCCGCGGUAAUUCCAGCUCCAAUAGCGUAUAUUACAGUUGUUGCAGUUAAAAAGCUCGUAGUUGAACUUUGGGUCUGGCUGAUCUGUCCUCCUAAUCGAGCGCACGGAUUCGGUCGGACCUUUCCUUCUGGGGAACCCUAUGCCCUUCACUGGGCGUAGUGGGGAACCAGGACUUUUACCUUGAAAAACAUUAGAGUGUUCAAAGCAGGCCUUUGCUCGAAUACAUUAGCAUGGAUACUAGA